UUCCAUAUUUGGUUAAAAUCUGUUCACACAUACCAACUGCACCAUGAUAGAUCAGGCUGAUCCUUCAAAUCUGACCCACUCGAGAUAUUCAACCCCAAAGACAUGGCUUCUCCAUGCGGGGGUGUCCCGUCCCAUCCACCGCUGGCUAUAUCACGUGACAUCAACAGUAACAAGUGUGUUUUAGAGAGGAUUGAUUAAACCCACUCAUCUUACCAGUCAUUUCCCCCUCAUUACCUCAUCUCGCUCACCUGGGUGGGUUUUGACACUGGUUUUACCUGCCAGACACAUUACUGGAAGUGCGUGUUUACUUCUUCUUUUGGACAUUUUUUAGGAACAACAUUUAGCUCUCACUUCUCAUUUAUUCAUCACUGAGCAAAGCAUAGCAGCACACACACACACACACACACACACUCCGACACACACACGAAGCUGCCCGUGUGGAUCACCUGCUGAACCAGAGUGGUAAAAAUGCUGUACCUGGUGGUGAUUCUGGUCUCUGUGUCAGGAGUUCUCGCUUCCAGUGAUUUGGGUGUGAACUUUCCGGAUAAUCCGAUCUGUGCUGUGAGAGGAUUCAGUGUCUCCAUUCCCUGUACUUAUUAUUAUUAUUAUUAUUAUUAUUAUUAUUAUUAUUAUUAUUCACCAUCAAAACCCAGUACUCAGGUGACACAAAUGCUUUGUGUAAACCUGGAGUGCUUCUACAAGUUGCAGGUAAAUUUUAAUAAUUAAAAUAAUAAUCCAAAUUAUUCCUUAUCUUCAUAAUUUACUUUCCUCCCUUAUAGAAAUACAUUAAAUAAUUUUGUGGACAUCUUUCUCUUUGUGAACCAUGAAAGUAAAUUUAAUUUAUUUUUUUUAAAUGUCAUUUAGUUGAUGUUUAUAAUUCAAUAACUAGAUUUCUAUCUGUGUGAGAAAUCCUGAUUAUUAUCCAUUAUUUAGAAACAAGAUUCUCUGAUUCUGAUGAUGAUUAUUAGCAUUUAAUGCAGGAAAUCUUUAAUUAUAUAAAAUCCCAUCACACAAAAAAGUGUCUGGCAAAUGAAUGUAAAUGUAAAUGAUUGUUUACAUCCUUAUGUUAGUAGAGUACUUCAUUUUAUUUAUUCUAACAAAAACCUAUUUUAAUCAUAAUGGGGAAAUGUUGUGGUUUGACUUUUUAUGUAUAAGAUAACAUAUGUGCUGUAACAUAUAUGCUAUAUAGUUUCCUUCCUAUAUUUUUAAGCUGUUAUUCAUUUUUAGAUUGUUUUACUUUAUUAAUUAACACAGUGACAGUGAUGAUAAUGAUCAUGCACACUGCUAUGUUCAUGUAUUUCCCUGCUAUGGUUUGAAUAAUGUAGAUGAAAUUGUUUUGGGGUUUUUAGCACCAGAUUCUCAACUCUCUAGUUUGAUUCUUUCAGAAAAUAAAUGUAUAAAAGGUCGAGUGUAAAAGUUCAUAUCUUCAUAUACAUGUUCAUAAUGUGUUGAGGUUUCCUGCGAAGAACAAUAUCGCCAUCUAGUGGUGGAAUCCUGAAGUUUUCAUUUUCUCUUCAUUGCCUGAGCUGUUGUAAUAAAGCAUCUGUUUAAUCAG